AAGUCGUAACAAGGUCUCCGUUGGUGAACCAGCGGAGGGAUCAUUACAGGAAUCGCAAGACUCCCGCAACCACCGUGAACCUACCCGAACGUUGCCUCGGCGGGCGCCGCGGGGAGGACCCCAGGGGUCCUCUCCGGGGCGCUGUGCCCGCCGGCGGCCCCCAACUCUUGUCUCUCAGCGCGGCAUCUCGGAGCAUAACGAAUGAGUCAAAACUUUCAACAACGGAUCUCUUGGUUCUG
rnacentral:misc_RNA from 1 species